rnacentral:lncRNA from 1 species
UGGAGGGGGGUGUAAUGUACAAAUGGAUAUGUAUUUUAAAAUCCCUCCAGUGGAUUCCAGUGCACCAUCAGGGCUGGAAAUCCGCAUCAGCACUGGAUCAAGGAGGCAAGACAGGUGCUCCCCAGUGCGGGCAGCUCGUUGGGGCAACUGGACAAGCUGGGCAGUUGCAGUCUCAGAUAGUUACUUCAACAACUCCCCGAUGCCGCCCGAGACUGCACGUGAAGGGUUCACAUGGAGUGGAAACAACGGCGAAGUAUGUCUACAGGCCUGAGCCUGCAUCGCAAAUGGCAGGAGACAGGCAGGUGAGGCGCGUCUCAGCUCAGGUGCGGCUGCAGUGCGGCGAAAUGGGCACAGGGGGGCAGUGUGGCCCCGUGUGGCUCUGCAGCCCUCUACCGCGGAAGGAGGCCUGGCCGGGGCUGGCACCCAGGCUCCAGCAGAGCCCCGGCCUGGUGAGGGGCUGUCCGGCCACCUUCCUCCCCUCCCAGCUCAGGCCCUGUCCUACAGAACCUGGCUCUCGGGGGAGUAAAGUUCCUGCAACAUUUACUGAGUGUGAAUUUUCUCAUGGCAAACACUGUCCUGGGUUAUUUCGUUUGAUCUUCACACCAAUCCGAGGCAGGCAUGUUAUUCCCCUUCUAGAAAGAGGAAGCCGCAGCUCAGGGAAGCUGAUGAACUUCCUGGCAGGUGGCAGGGCCACGACUGAGACUCAAGUCUGUCUGACUCCAAGCCAAGUCGUCUUCACGUUCAGCCACUGCUCCUUUAUACAGGCACAGGUGUGACGAGGACGCUCCAUUUCAUUACUAAGUGGCCAGCUGCAGGUCACAGAAAGAAAGAAAAAGGGAGAGGAGCCAAGAAUUUGAAAACCAGCGACUUAAACUCCUGGCCCCUGCUCUUGUUUGGAAGGCUCAGAUCCUAAAACCGGAAAAACACAGAGCCAACAGGCCUGGUCCUGUGUGAGGAGGACACGCAAAUCCGUGGAGCGUUCCACAUGUUUCCAGGGAGGAUGAAAUGUUCUGGAGAUGGACAGAGACGAGUGGUUGUACAACUGUGCCAAUGUCCCUAAUGCCACUGAACUGCAUAUUUAAAAUAGCUGAAUGCAUCUUGGAAAAUAAAGAAAAAUCUGUUCCUUAUUCUCUGGUCGCCAUCCAGACUGAAGAUGCCGCAUCACCCUCACUGAGUCAUCACCUCUGCUUUCAAAGCCUCGUUCCUUCCUCCUGGCUCUUCCGGGGACUCACACAAACCUUGGGACUGGAAGGGACCUGAGAAGUUUUCUGAGCCCGCCGUGGCUUGGGUCUCCCUGGAUGGCCUACAUUUUUAGGCGAUCUCUGCAUGACCCUCUCUCUCCUUCUGAGGUAUAAGAUUGACGACGAUCAAGAACGAGCUCCCUUCAGUUUCAGAGACUUUAAGGAAAACUAUACAGAAAGGAGCUCUUUUGUAAAGGAUCAGAAGAAGAGAAAACGAUAGGGGUUUGUUUCUUGCUGGCCUGCCCUCUUCCUCACACGU